rnacentral:lncRNA from 1 species
AAUGGCGCGGGUGCUGAAGGCUGCAGCCGCGAAUGCCGUAGGUGAAUACCGGGCACCGGCGACCUUCGCCAUGGGACAGGGAGCGUGGGAACGGCGGUCGGGGGCGGAGGAGGCCUCGGCGUGGCCAAAGCACCUUGAUCUAAUGUCCUCCCCCGGGGGCGCGUUCCACAGCAGCUGCUGUCACUUAGGCAGAGGGUGCCUUCCAGAAGCGCCACCGCUUAGUAGCGGGGAUUGCCUUGUGCAUGAGUCCCAUUUCCAUCCGAGAGCUGUGCGCCUUGGGCUCUGCACCUUCCAGUAUGUGGGCGGGAGAGUCGAGGGAACUUGCCCGGCAGGUCAGGCAGGGCAGGGACAGAAGUAAAUAGAAGCGGAUCGGUAAGUUAUUUUACCGCGCACCAAUAAAGAGACUGGGGAGAAACCAGAAAGGAGAGCACGUUCCGUAAAAACAACAACUACUAGUCGGCCGAACUCCAAGCGUGACCAGCUUUCUGUUGGGAACACUCAAAGGGCUUUUUUCCAGACUUCAAGCUCCCAUUCCAACAGUAAGAGCUUCUUCCACAUCACAGCCCUUGGAUCAAGUGACAGGUUCUGUGUGGAACCUGGGUCGACUCAACCAUGUAGCCAUAGCAGUGCCAGAUUUGGAAAAGGCUGCAGCAUUUUAUAAGAAUAUUCUGGGGGCCCAGGUAAGUGAAGCGGUCCCUCUUCCUGAACAUGGAGUAUCUGUUGUUUUUGUCAACCUGGGAAAUACCAAGAUGGAACUGCUUCAUCCAUUGGGACGUGACAGUCCAAUUGCAGGUUUUCUGCAGAAAAACAAGGCUGGAGGAAUGCAUCACAUCUGCAUCGAGGUUCCCAGUCUAAGUGGGUGACUUUCCAAGAUAGAGGCAGAUCAUUUCUCCGUCAAGUAUAGAGAGACACAUCUGCUCCUCCUAGAGUGUCCAU